UGGGGAAUCUUGCGCAAUGCGCGAAAGCGUGACGCAGCAACGCCGCGUGAGGGAAGAAGGCCUUAGGGUUGUAAACCUCUUUCAGGAGGGACGAAGGUCGGCACGUUAAUAGCGUGUCCGAUUGACGGUACCUCCACAAGAAGCCCCGGCUAACUACGUGCCAGCAGCCGCGGUAAUACGUAGGGGGCAAGCGUUGUCCGGAAUUAUUGGGCGUAAAGAGCGUGUAGGCGGUCCGGUAAGUCAGCUGUGAAAGUCAAGGGCUCAACCCUUGAAAGCCGGUUGAUACUGUCGGGCUAGAGUCCGGAAGAGGCGAGUGGAAUUCCCGGUGUAGCGGUGAAAUGCGCAGAUAUCGGGAGGAACACCAAUGGCGAAGGCAGCUCGCAGGGACGGUACUGACGCUGAGACGCGAAAGCGUGGGGAGCAAACAGGAUUAGAUACCCUGGUAGUCCACGCCGUAAACGAUGGGCACUAGGUGUUGGGGGUGUCGACUCCCCCGGCGCCGUAGCUAACGCAUU
rnacentral:rRNA from 1 species